rnacentral:rRNA from 1 species
GACAGAGGUGCCGAGCGUUAGGCGGAAUCACUGGGCUUAAAGCGUGUGUAGGCGGAUUCCUAAGUACCUUGUGAAAUCCCAUGGCUCAACCAUGGAACUGCUUGGUAUACUGGGUGUCUUGAGCCAGCUAGGGGCUACCGGAACAAAUGGUGGAGCGGUGAAAUGCGUAGAUAUCAGGAAGAACACCUAUGGCGAAGGCAGCUCUCUGGGACGGUACUGACGCUGAGACGCGAAAGCGUGGGGAGCGAACAGG